GGCUAAAAAUGUCUCAUUCCGAUAACUUGAAAUCUUGUAGAUUGCAAAAGCAUGAUCCUUUUCUAAGUUGUUGCGAGACAUGAUACAGUAUAAAUAGAUUUUGCUAUGACUUUGUUCUAAGAGAAACUUGACAUCCGGAGUUUUCUUUUCAAAAAUUCAAAAACAAAGAGUUCCUCAAUGAUUAUGAAAUACCUACCAACGCCAUAUGACUUGCUUAGUAGUUUGUACACCUUUAGUCAUAUGCGGCUUGCGGCGCUUUGAGUUGAGUCAAAUCCCAGGUAUCCUAGAGUGAGAUUAUGAUCAUGCACCCAUGAUAUGAGAUUCACGCACCCACCAAAUAAAGCUGACUCUCACACUGAGAAGUUACGCACAACAUGCACCCUUCCAUCCACCAAAAAUAUGCCAACUCUUAUCCUGAGAGUUGUGCCUUAGCUUCCACCAAAUAAGUAUGCCAAACUCUCACCCUGAGGUUUGCGCAUCCACAUACACAAUUUUACUCCUUACAUCACCAUCAUGACAUCUCUCCAUUUUUCUCUUUGAGAUCCCUUUGAAACAUGUGGGCAUCAGUCUUCCAAAAAAAAUGAAGAAAAAGCCAAAGGGCAUAGAUGGGACAAUCAAAAUCCCCGUCAGAAAAAAAUAACUUGCAUAUGUUUACAUAUUUUUAGGGCCCAUAUGUUUACAUUCUCUCAUUCUAAUCCUCAAAUAAAGAGAGUCAUGAUACAAGGAGUAACCAAAAAUAUUUAGAUGGGACUACCACCAAAAAUUCCACACCC
rnacentral:lncRNA from 1 species